AGAGUUUGAUCCUGGCUCAGGACGAACGCUGGCGGCGUGCCUAAGACAUGCAAGUCGAGCGGACUUGAGUGGUAACUUCGGUUACUAUGACGGUUAGCGGCGAACGGGUGAGUAACGCGUGGAUAAUCUGCCCUGCAAUUCGGGAUAACACUCCGAAAGGAGUGCUAAUACCGGAUAGUCUGUCGAAUCACAUGGUUCGGCAGGGAAAGGUGUAAACCGAUGCAGGAUGAGUCCGCGUCCCAUUAGCUAGUUGGUGAGGUAACGGCCCACCAAGGCGACGAUGGGUAGCCGGCCUGAGAGGGUGUACGGCCACACUGGGACUGAGAUACGGCCCAGACUCCUACGGGAGGCAGCAGUCGGGAAUCUUCCCCAAUGGGCGAAAGCCUGAGGGAGCGACGCCGCGUGAGUGAUGAAGGUCUUCGGAUCGUAAAGCUCUGUUGUCAGGGACGAGACAAGACGGUACCUGACGAGGAAGCCACGGCUAACUACGUGCCAGCAGCCGCGGUAAUACGUAGGUGGCAAGCGUUGUCCGGAAUUAUUGGGCGUAAAGGGCGCGUAGGCGGUGCCUUAAGUCAGGUGUGAAAUACCCCGGCUCAACUGGGGUAGGCCACUUGAUACUGGGGUGCUAGAGUGCAGGAGAGGAAAGUGGAAUUCCAUGUGUAGCGGUGAAAUGCGUAGAUAUAUGGAGGAACACCAGUGGCGAAGGCGGCUUUCUGGACUGCAACUGACGCUGAGGCGCGAAAGCUGGGGGAGUGAACGGGAUUAGAUACCCCGGUAAUCCCAGCCGUAAACGAUGGAUGCUAGGUGUGGGAGGUAUCGACCCCUUCCGUGCCGCAGUUAACACAAUAAGCAUCCCGCCUGGGGAGUACGGCCGCAAGGUUGAAACUCAAAGGAAUUGACGG
rnacentral:rRNA from 1 species